rnacentral:rRNA from 1 species
CAAGAAUAUUAGUCAAUGCUCGCAAGAGUGAACUAGCUAACUGAAAUCACAUGAGUCACUCUGUUGAUAAUUGUGAUAACGUAAGGGACAAAAAUGAUAUUACCUUACUAUUAGUGUUGUCCAAAACUGGUGCCAGAAGACUCGGUAAGGCCAGAGACGCAAACGUUAGUCGUCUUAAUCAGGCGUAAAGGGUAUGUAGGCUGCUUUAAAAUCAAUUAAAGCUAGGAUCAAAUUGAGGAUAAACCAAAUAAUACUUAGUGUAGGGUUGAUAUCUAUAGAUACUAAGGGGAAUACUAAAGGUGAAAGCUUUUUAUCUAGUAAUGAUUGACGCUGAGAAACGAAGGUGAGAAUAGGAAAUAGGAUUAGAUACCCAGAUACCUCUCACUGUCAACGAUGAAUGGUGGUUGUUAGUUUUUUAAAACUGGUAACGAUGUUAACACGAUAACCAUUCCGCCUUGCGAGUACGGUUGCAAAACUGAAACCAAAAAAAUUAGUCGGUCUCGAAGCAAACGAAGUGAAGCAUGUUAUUUAAUUCGAUAU